CACUCCUGCGGGAGGCAGCAGUGGGAAUUUUGGACAAUGGGCGAAAGCCUGAUCCAGCAAUGCCGCGUGAGUGAAGAAGGCCUUCGGGUUGUAAAGCUCUUUUGUCAGGGAAGAAACGGUGAGAGCUAAUAUCUCUUGCUAAUGACGGUACCUGAAGAAUAAGCACCGGCUAACUACGUGCCAGCAGCCGCGGUAAUACGUAGGGUGCAAGCGUUAAUCGGAAUUACUGGGCGUAAAGCGUGCGCAGGCGGUUUUGUAAGUCUGAUGUGAAAUCCCCGGGCUCAACCUGGGAAUUGCAUUGGAGACUGCAAGGCUAGAAUCUGGCAGAGGGGGGUAGAAUUCCACGUGUAGCAGUGAAAUGCGUAGAUAUGUGGAGGAACACCGAUGGCGAAGGCAGCCCCCUGGGUCAAGAUUGACGCUCAUGCACGAAAGCGUGGGGAGCAAACAGGAUUAGAAACCCUGGUAGUCCCAUGA
rnacentral:rRNA from 1 species